CAGCAGCCGCGGGAAGACAGGGGAUGCAAGCGUUAUCCGGAAUGAUUGGGCGUAAAGCGUCUGUAGGUGGCUUUUCAAGUCCACCGUCAAAUCCCAGGGCUCAACCCUGGACAGGCGGUGGAAACUACCAAGCUGGAGUACGGUAGGGGCAGAGGGAAUUUCCGGUGGAGUAGUGAAAUGCAUUGAGAUCAGAAAGAACACCAACGGCGAAAGCACUCUGCUGGGCCGACACUGACACUGAGAGACGAAAGCUAGGGGAGCAAAUGGAAUUAGAUACCCCAGUAGUCCCUGUCUCUUAUAC
rnacentral:rRNA from 1 species